GCCAGGCACAGUGGCACACGCCUGUACUCCUAGCUACUUCGAAGGCUGAGGCAGGAGGAUUGCUUGAGCACACGAGUUCUGGGCUGUAGUGUGUUAUGCCGAUCAGGUGUCCACACUAAGUUUGGAAUCAAUAUAGUGACGUCCCAGGAGCAGGGGACCACAAGGUUGCCUAAGGAGGGGUGAACUGGCCCAGACUAGAGUUGGAGCAGGUCAAAACUCCAAUGCUGAUCAGUUAUGGGAUCGUGCCUGUACAUAGCAACUGCACUCCAGCCUGGGCAACAUAGUGAGACACUGUCUCUA
ensembl:misc_RNA Metazoa_SRP Metazoan signal recognition particle RNA